CGCCUCCAGCCGCCCACCUGCCCUCUCCAACGCCGCCGUCCUCCGCGCCGUCACUGCCUCCGGAUCCCCUCCGAGGUAAAUCCUCGCCGUCUAUUCCCGCGCCGUCCGGCAGCCCGGCUUCCGCCUCGGAUCCGCCCUUCUUAUCCCCCUCCUCCCCGCCUUCUCCGCCGCGUCCUCCGAUUGACCUUCUCUUCUCCACCCUCCUCGACGCCCUCAUCCGCUCUGAUCACCUCGAGAUCGCCUGAUCCCUCCUCUCCGACAUUGACCUAGGGUUUCCUCCUAAGUUAACGCACUAGGCUGGCCAUCGAGGUGCUCGAUCUCAUGGCGGCGUUCCGUCCCCAACAUGUUCUUCUACGGAUCCCUAAUACACGGCAGCGGCGGACGACGCCUUCGCGGCGGCGAAGCAGAUGCCUGGGAGUGGCCGGGAUGCGGACGUGGUUGUAUAUGCUGGUCAUCGGUUACUUGAGGAGCGGGGAGAUGGAAAGGGAGGAGGAGGUGGUGGCGGGAAUGGAACGGAGAGAUGUUGCCACCGCCGGGACCUACAAUACGCUGAUCUCUGGGAUGCCUGAUUGUCGGAUUGCGGAGGACAGGAUCUGUGGGAUGUGAUCACAUUCGCAAAUUUGGUUGGAGAAUGAGGAAGGAAGGGGAGAAUGUUGGAAUGCAAUGCCCUGUUAGGGAAGAUGGUGGGGAUGGGGAUUUCGACGACUGCCGCUUGUUAUCAGAUUCUGCUUCGAUUAUAAUGGAGGAUUGGGAUGGCAAUAGAUGCGAUCAGAGUUCUUGGGUCAAUGGUGUUUAAUGGAUUCUUGGCUGAUAACAAUUUAGGGAAAAUGCCGGAUUUGGUUCAGGGAGGGAGUUUUGGGAGUGGUGAUGAACAAAGAUUACGGGAGAUCGUUUACAGAGUAAUUUUGAAUGCGGGAGGCAACAUUGAGUUUAGUUGUUAAGAUGUUUGACGAGGUUGGGAAUUAAUUGCCCAUCUAAUCAUUCCUUGUGUAGGCAAAGUGUUCAUCAUCUUGCGCAAAUUUAUUGGUGGUUUUCAAUUGAUAUGUGACAAGAGUGAUGAUGCAAUUAUGGUCUGAUGCAAGAAGGUUCUGGUCCACUAAAUGAGUCGUCUGAAUCACUGUUCUUAUGGAGAGGAGAUAACCGGCUUUCUUCUCUGAGGUACGCUUUUAAUCUCAUGACUAUUCUUAACUCUGAAAUCAAAUUCUCCUGCAUAGGUGCAUAUGAAUUUUGAUCAACUUGUAAAAUAGUUACACAUUUAUUCAAUGCUUUUGCCUUGCAAAUUAUGCAUGGA
rnacentral:lncRNA from 1 species